rnacentral:rRNA from 1 species
AGCGAACGCUGGCGGCAGGCCUAACACAUGCAAGUCGAACGAACCCUUCGGGGUUAGUGGCGGACGGGUGAGUAACAUGUGGGAACGUGCCUUUAGGUUCGGAAUAACUCAGGGAAACUUGUGCUAAUACCGAAUGUGCCCUUCGGGGGAAAGAUUUAUCGCCUUUAGAGCGGCCCGCGUCUGAUUAGCUAGUUGGUGAGGUAAUGGCUCACCAAGGCUACGAUCAGUAGCUGGUCUGAGAGGAUGACCAGCCACAUUGGGACUGAGACACGGCCCAAACUCCUACGGGAGGCAGCAGUGGGGAAUCUUGCGCAAUGGGCGAAAGCCUGACGCAGCCAUGCCGCGUGGAUGAUGAAGGUCUUAGGAUUGUAAAAUCCUUUCACCGGUGAAGAUAAUGACUGUAGCCGGAGAGGAAGCCCCGGCUAACUUCGUGCCAGCCGCCGCCGUAAAAC